rnacentral:ribozyme from 1 species
UCCUCUCCAAGAGCGCCCAUGGUCUUGGCGAGAUGAAGCCACGGACAAGGCUCGCCUCUUUGUCCACCUCGCGCUCGUCGCUUUGCUCCCCAUCG